rnacentral:rRNA from 1 species
UGAACGCUGGCGGUAGGCCUAACACAUGCCCGUCGACCGGCAGCACAGUAAGAGCUUGCUCUUACGGGUGGCGAGUGGCGGACGGGUGAGGAAUACAUCGGAAUCUACUUUUUCGUGGGGGAUAACGUAGGGAAACUUACGCUAAUACCGCAUACGACCUACGGGUGAAAGCAGGGGAUCUUCGGACCUUGCGCGAUUGAAUGAGCCGAUGUCGGAUUAGCUAGUUGGCGGGGUAAAGGCCCACCAAGGCGACGAUCCGUAGCUGGUCUGAGAGGAUGAUCAGCCACACUGGAACUGAGACACGGUCCAGACUCCUACGGGAGGCAGCAGUGGGGAAUAUUGGACAAUGGGCGCAAGCCUGAUCCAGCCAUACCGCGUGGGUGAAGAAGGCCUUCGGGUUGUAAAGCCCUUUUGUUGGGAAAGAAAAGCAGCAGGUUAAUACCCCGCUGUUCUGACGGUACCCAAAGAAUAAGCACCGGCUAACUUCGUG